AGUGAACGCUGGCGGUAGGCCUAACACAUGCAAGUCGAACGGCAGCACAGUAAGAGCUUGCUCUUACGGGUGGCGAGUGGCGGACGGGUGAGGAAUACAUCGGAAUCUACUUUUUCGUGGGGGAUAACGUAGGGAAACUUACGCUAAUACCGCAUACGACCUACGGGUGAAAGCAGGGGAUCUUCGGACCUUGCGCGAUUGAAUGAGCCGAUGUCGGAUUAGCUAGUUGGCGGGGUAAAGGCGCACCAAGGCGACGAUCCGUAGCUGGUCUGAGAGGAUGAUCCGCCACACUGGAACUGAGACACGGUCCAGACUCCUACGGGAGGCAGCAGUGGGGAAUAUUGGACAAUGGGCGCAAGCCUGAUCCAGCCCUACCGCGUGGGUGAAGAAGGCCUUCGGGUUGUAAAGCCCUUUUGUUGGGAAAGAAAAGCAGCAGGUUAAUACCCCGCUGUUCUGACGGUACCCAAAGAAUAAGCACCGGCUAACUUCGUG
rnacentral:rRNA from 1 species